rnacentral:rRNA from 1 species
AGAGUUUGAUCAUGGCUCAGGAUGAACGCUGGCGGCGUGCUUAACACAUGCAAGUCGAACGCUGAAGCCCCAGCUUGCUGGGGUGGAUGAGUGGCGAACGGGUGAGUAACACGUGAGUAACCUUCCCUUGACUCUGGGAUAAGCCCGGGAAACUGGGUCUAAUACCGGAUACGACCUCCUGCCGCAUGGUGUGGGGGUGGAAAGAUUUAUCGGUUUUGGAUGGACUCGCGGCCUAUCAGCUUGUUGGUGAGGUAAUGGCUCACCAAGGCGACGACGGGUAGCCGGCCUGAGGGGGUGACCGGCCACACUGGGACUGAGACACGGCCCAGACUCCUACGGGAGGCAGCAGUGGGGAAUAUUGCACAAUGGGCGCAAGCCUGAUGCAGCGACGCCGCGUGAGGGAUGACGGCCUUCGGGUUGUAAACCUCUUUCAGUAGGGAAGAAGCGAAAGUGACGGUACCUGCAGAAGAAGCGCCGGCUAACUACGUGCCAGCAGCCGCGGUAAUACGUAGGGCGCGAGCGUUAUCCGGAAUUAUUGGGCGUAAAGAGCUCGUAGGCGGUUUGUCGCGUCUGCCGUGAAAGUCCGGGGCUUAACCCCGGAUCUGCGGUGGGUACGGGCAGACUAGAGUGCAGUAGGGGAGACUGGAAUUCCUGGUGUAGCGGUGAAAUGCGCAGAUAUCAGGAGGAACACCGAUGGCGAAGGCAGGUCUCUGGGCUGUUACUGACGCUGAGGAGCGAAAGCAUGGGGAGCGAACAGGAUUAGAUACCCUGGUAGUCCAUGCCGUAAACGUUGGGCACUAGGUGUGGGGGACAUUCCACGUUUUCCGCGCCGCAGCUAACGCAUUAAGUGCCCCGCCUGGGGAGUACGGCCGCAA